ACUUUGUGUCUGAGGGGCAGGGACUUAAUCAAUGCGAGCUUAUGACCCGCGCUUACUGGGAAUUCCUCGUUCAUGGGAAAUAAUUGCAAUCCCCAAUCCC